UUGGAGGGCAAGUCUGGUGCCAGCAGCCGCGGUAAUUCCAGCUCCAAUAGCGUAUAUUAAAGUUGUUGCAGUUAAAAAGCUCGUAGUUGAAUUUCGGGAUCAAUAUUUCGGUCAUGCCGUUGGUAUGCACUGUUAUCAUUGAUUUCUCACCUUCUAAAGAACCGUAAUGCCAUUAAUUUGGUGUUUCGGGGAAUUAGGGCUGUUACCUUGAAAAAAUUAGAGUGUUUAAAGCAGGCUCACGCUUGAAUACAUUAGCAUGGAAUAAUGAAAUAGGACAUCCGAUUCUAUUUUGUUGGUUUCUAGGAUCGAUGUAAUGAUUAAUAGGGAUAGUUGGGGGCAUUAGUAUUCAAUUGUCAGAGGUGAAAUUCUUGGAUUUAUUGAAGACUAACUACUGCGAAAGCAUUUGCCAAGGAUGUUUUCAUUAAUCAAGAACGAAAGUUAGGGGAUCGAAGACGAUCAGAUACCGUCGUAGUCUUAACCAUAAACUAUGCCGACUAGGGAUCGGAUGAUGUUAAUUUUUUAAUGACUCAUUCGGCGCCUUACGGGAAAC
rnacentral:rRNA from 1 species